rnacentral:tRNA from 1 species
GCCGAAGUGGUGGAAUUGGUAGACACGCUACCUUGAGGGGGUAGUGGGCUCAUGCCCGUGGAGGUUCGAGUCCUCUCUUCGGCACCA